GCCAUUUUAGGGAAAUAUUCCCUUUCCCUGCAGUCUCCAUUUUAUGUUCCUGACGCAGAAAAUAAAAAGAUGCACUCAGGCUGCCCUCUGGGAUGGAUGAUGAUUCUGGCCUUGCUGAUUCAUCCAGCCCUGGCUGAGGAUCUUUCUGGAAGCAUCUUCCAUGCCCAGUGUCUGCUGAGAACUUGAGGAAAAUCUUACACAGGACGAGAGGAUGGAUCACAGUGGAAUAUUCUGAACUUCCCAGCCAACACAGAUAAGAUAAGAGUGAAAAAUCUGUGGGGGGAAAAAUUGACAAUAUCCUUUUGCUUUUGGGGAGAAGAAGGUUUCAAAGAGGAUGUGAGCUGUGGCAAAAGGAGGCCGAUUCCCCUUGCCCACCCUUCCCACAGGAGGUGCAAAUGUCACCCCAGCACUGAGCAGAUUAGGCUGGGCUCACCUUUGAGCUCCUCUGGGCAGCUGUGCCAGGGCCUCACCGCCCCCCCAGGCAAGAAUUUCUUCCCAAAAUCCACUUCCAGCUGCCUUGCCACGACCAGGGACAUCUUUAACCAGAGCAGAUUUCUCAGAGCCCCAUUGCUCAGCCCUCCCGUGCUCCUCACUCCCCCUCCCAAAGAGAACUGAACCCCUUUUGUGUGGUUUCCCCCUCCCUCCCACCCAGCAGCUGCUCCUGCUGCCCUGCAGGGGCAGGAAACACCAUCUGCCCCUCAAAGCUGGGAAGGGAGGAGGCACAGGAGGAGAAGCAGCAGCGAGAGGAGCAGGGAACAGCUGGAGGGCAAGGCUGGGGUUCAGCAGAGUGUUUGGAGCUGUGGGAUGGAUGCAAAGAGAGCUGCAGAUGAGGACAGAGCUGGAUCCCCGAGGAUGGGGCAGCACAAAGUGCGUUUUACUGAGAGGAGAAACCCUGAGAGCAGCAAUUUCAGGUUUGCCCGCAGAGCUCCACCUUUAUCUGAGGAUGAAAACCUCGCAGCAGCGAUGUGCAAAGCCUGCUGAGCUCCAGAGAACCUUCUCAAACCCCAGAGGCUUUUUUGGCCUUUUUUGCAUCCCACGCCAAAGCCCGUGCACCCCUUCAGGGCUGCACUCCUCCAUCCCUCCUGGAUUUCCUGGGAAGCUCGGUGGGUGUCAGCACCAGAACUCUUUUCUCUCUUCCCAGACCAUGAUGCUGAAUCCUCUAUUCCAACCACACACGUUUCACAUUUAUUUCAAAUGUGGUUUAAAAGGGAGGAGGGGGAGAGGCCAUAAAUAUUCUCUCCCAGUGCUGUUUCCUGAGCCUGGGGAUACCCAAAGGAAUGGGAUGGGCUCUGUGGAACAGACCUGUGCAGCCCCAAAUGGCUUUCAUUUGUGGCCCCUCUGGAUUCCCCUGGUGCCUGCAGAUGCCAGAGUUUCCUGCUGCUACAAUUCCCCGUGACUCUUCCUUCCCCUCCGUGGAGCUGUGGGAUGAGGAGAGGGGUGAGGAAGGCACUGCUGGCUCUGUGUUUCCUGUCCCAUCCUUCCCUAAGCCUAGGAGAGGCUUUUUCCCAGGAUAAAAGUGACUGGGCAGCGUUUGGGAAAGGCAGGAAAAGCUGAGAAGCUGCACCUCUGGAAGCAGGGGAGCACUUUGGGAUGUUUGGGGGUAACAACAUCUACAGCUCAGCAGUUCCACAGCCACAUCCAACUGCAGCAGCCCCUCUGUAUAACAAGGUUCAUAUAUCAGAUAUAUUUAUAUAUAUAUAUAUAUAUAUAUAUAUAUGAUUAUUAUUAUAUUUAUACAUAAUAUAUAUAAUAUAAAUAAAUAGAUAAUGUAUAAAUAUAUAUUUAUUAUU
ensembl:lncRNA